UACGUAGGGUGCGAGCGUUGUCCGGAAUUAUUGGGCGUAAAGGGCUCGUAGGCGGUCUGUCGCGUCGGGAGUGAAAACUCAGGGCUUAACCCUGAGCCUGCUUCCGAUACGGGCAGACUAGAGGUAUGCAGGGGAGAACGGAAUUCCUGGUGUAGCGGUGAAAUGCGCAGAUAUCAGGAGGAACACCGGUGGCGAAGGCGGUUCUCUGGGCAUUACCUGACGCUGAGGAGCGAAAGUGUGGGGAGCGAACGGG
rnacentral:rRNA from 1 species